AUGCAAGGCGGCGCCUUAGACAUGGCAGAGCAUAUGCAUAGCACAAUAAAUCACAGCAUAGCACUACAAAUCAAAGCACACAAAACCACAGUCACAAAUCAAAGCAGGGCACUAGGAAUUCCUAAAUCAAGGGAGCACAAGUGCACAAGCGGGCAGGGGAGGAGAGACAGAGAGUCACAUUCUGACUGGAGGUAUAGACGGCUGUUGAGCUGUUGGGACUGUGGAGGAGCCAGUCAUCAGCCGCCAGAGGAAGAGAGCAGAAAGAGCUCCUCUCUUAGGGAUGCCUUAAGAACAAUGCACUUGAGUACCUUCCUAAGACUUUAA
rnacentral:rRNA from 1 species